rnacentral:rRNA from 1 species
CGGUAAUUCCAGCUCCAAUAGCGUAUAUUUAAGUUGUUGCAGUUAAAAAGCUCGUAGUUGGAUUUCGGGUGGGUAGCRCCGGUCUCGCUUUGCGUUUGUACUGGUGCCGCCUU